rnacentral:rRNA from 1 species
UUUAAUUCGAUGCAACGCGAAGAACCUUACCAGGGCUUGACAUGCCAUUUGCCUUUUUGAAAGAAAAGGUUUCUCAUAUUUCGGUAUGAGCGAUGGACACAGGUGGUGCAUGGCUGUCGUCAGCUCGUGUUGUGAAAUGUUGGGUUAAGUCCCGCAACGAGCGCAACCCUUGUUUUUAGUUGUUUUUCUAGAAAGACUGCCGGUGAUAAGCCGGAGGAAGGUGGGGAUGACGUCAAGUCAGCAUGCCCCUUUUGCCCUGGGCUACACACGUGCUACAAUGGCCGGGACAAUGAGAUGCAAUCUCGCGAGAGUGAGCCAACCUCAAAAACCCGGUCUUAGUUCGGAUUGCAGGCUGCAACUCGCCUGCAUGAAGUCGGAAUCGCUAGUAAUCGCCGGUCAGCUACACGG